rnacentral:rRNA from 1 species
GACGAACGCUGGCGGCGUGCCUAAUACAUGCAAGUAGAACGCACAGUUUAUACCGUAGCUUGCUACACCAUAAACUGUGAGUUGCGAACGGGUGAGUAACGCGUAGGUAACCUGCCUGGUAGCGGGGGAUAACUAUUGGAAACGAUAGCUAAUACCGCAUAAUAUUGAUUAUUGCAUGAUAAUUGAUUGAAAGAUGCUAUUGCAUCACUACCAGAUGGACCUGCGUUGUAUUAGCUAGUAGGUGAGGUAACGGCUCACCUAGGCGACGAUACAUAGCCGACCUGAGAGGGUGAUCGGCCACACUGGGACUGAGACACGGGCCAGACUCCUACGGGAGGCAGCAGUAGGGAAUCUUCGGCAAUGGACGGAAGUCUGACCGAGCAACGCCGCGUGAGUGAAGAAGGUUUUCGGAUCGUAAAGCUCUGUUGUAAGAGAAGAACGGGUGUGAGAGUGGAAAGUUCACACUGUGACGGUAUCUUACCAGAAAGAGACGGCUAACUACGUG